rnacentral:rRNA from 1 species
UAAUGACUCUCGGCAACGGAUAUCUAGGCUCUCGCAUCGAUGAAGAACGUAGCGAAAUGCGAUACUUGGUGUGAAUUGCAGAAUCCCGUGAACCAUCGAGUCUUUGAACGCAAGUUGCGCACGAAGCCAUUAGGCUGAGUGCACGUCUGCCUGGGCGUCUCACA